GAUGAACGCUGGCGGCGUGCCUAAUACAUGCGAGUCGAGCGCACAGACGAGGAGCUUGCUCCGCUGACGUUAGCGGCGGAGGGGGGAGUAACGCGUGUAUAACCUACCUAUAAGACUGACAAAACUGCGGGAAAGCGGAGCUAAUACCGGAUAAUCUAUUGAACCACGGGGUUCGAUAGUGAAAGUCGGUUUUGCUGUCACGUAUAGAGGGAUCCGAGCCGAAUUGGCUAGUUGGUAAGGUAACGGCUUACCAAUGCAACGAUGCGUAGCCGAACGGAGAGGGGGCUAGCCCACCUUGGAACGGAGCCACGGUCCAGACUGCUAAGGGAGGAACCAGUAGGGAACCGUACGCAAUGGGCGAAAGCAUGACGCAGUAACGCCGCGUGAGUGAUGGCAGUCUUCGGAUCGUAAAACUCUGUUAUUAGGGAAGAACAACUGUCUACGUAAAUAUGCACGUCGUGACGGUACCUAAUAAGAAAGCAACGGCUAACUACGUG
rnacentral:rRNA from 1 species